GACGAACGCUGGCGGCGUGCUUAACACAUGCAAGUCGAACGGAAAGGCCCUGCUUUUGUGGGGUGCUCGAGUGGCGAACGGGUGAGUAACACGUGAGUAACCUGCCCUUGACUUUGGGAUAACUUCAGGAAACUGGGGCUAAUACCGGAUAGGAGCUCCUGCUGCAUGGUGGGGGUUGGAAAGUUUCGGCGGUUGGGGAUGGACUCGCGGCUUAUCAGCUUGUUUGUGGGGUAGUGGCUUACCAAGGCUUUGACGGGUAGCCGGCCUGAGAGGGUGACCGGCCACAUUGGGAUUGAGAUACGGCCCAGACUCCUACGGGAGGCAGCAGUGGGGAAUAUGGCACAAUGGGCGGAAGCCUGAUGCAGCAACCCCGCGUGCGGGAUGACGGCCUUCGGGUUGUAAACCGCUUUCGCCUGUGACGAAGCGUGAGUGACGGUAAUGGGUAAAGAAGCACCGGCUAACUACGUG
rnacentral:rRNA from 1 species